ACUCGCCUACGGGGCGCAGCAGUGAGGAAUAUUGGUCAAUGGUCGGGAGACUGAACCAGCCACGCCGCGUGAGGGAUGAAGGUACAGAGUAUCGUAAACCUCUUUUGUCAGGGAACAAAGGCGGGGACGCGUCCCCGGAUGAGUGUACCUGAAGAAAAAGCAUCGGCUAACUCCGUGCCAGCAGCCGCGGUAAUACGGAGGAUGCGAGCGUUAUCCGGGUUUAUUGGGUUUAAAGGGUGCGUAGGCGGAUUUUUAAGUCAGCGGUAAAAUGUCCGGGCUCAACCCGGGCCGGCCGUUGAAACUUG
rnacentral:rRNA from 1 species